UAAGGAAUAUUGGUCAAUGGACGCAAGUCUGAACCAGCCAUGCCGCGUGAAGGAAGACGGCCCUACGGGUUGUAAACUUCUUUUGUACGGAAAAAAACCACCGGUCGUGAACCGGUGCUGAUGGUACCGUAAGAAUAAGCAUCGGCUAACUCCGUGCCAGCAGCCGCGGUAAUACGGAGGAUGCAAGCGUUAUCCGGAUUCAUUGGGGUUAAAGGGUGCGAAGGCGGAAGUAUAAGUCAGUGGUGAAAUCCUACGGCUCAACUGUAGAACUGCCAUUGAUACUGUUGUUCUUGAGUACACUUGGAGUGGGCGGAAUGUGUCAUGUAGCGGUGAAAUGCUUAGAUAUGACACAGAACACCGAUCGCGAAGGCAGCUCACUAAGUUGUAACUGACGCUCAGGCACGAAAGCGUGGGGAUCAAACA
rnacentral:rRNA from 1 species